rnacentral:rRNA from 1 species
GACGACGCUGGCGGCGUGCCUAACACAUGCAAGUCGAGCGGAGUCGAUCGACGGAAGCCUUCGGGCGGAAGAUGGUUGACUUAGCGGCGGAUGGGUGAGUAACGCGUGGGCAACCUGCCUCGAAGACCGGGAUAACAGUCCGAAAGGGCUGCUAAUACCGGAUGUGGUCAAGGAUCCGCAUGGAUUUUUGAUUAAAGGGGAAACCCGUUUCGAGAUGGGCCCGCGUCCUAUCAGCUAGUUGGUGAGGUAAAAGCUCACCAAGGCGACGACGGGUAGCCGGCCUGAGAGGGUGACCGGCCACACUGGAACUGAGACACGGUCCAGACUCCUACGGGGGGCAGCAGUGGGGAAUCUUCCACAAUGGACGAAAGUCUGACCUAGCGACGCCGCGUGAGGGAAGAAGGCCUUCGGGUUGUAAACCUCUGUCAUGGGGGAAGAAGUAAGUGACGGUACCCCAAGAGGAAGCCCCUGCUAACUACGUG